rnacentral:rRNA from 1 species
UACGUAGGGUGCGAGCGUUGUCCGGAAUUAUUGGGCGUAAAGAGCUUGUAGGUGGUUUGUCGCGUCUGCUGUGAAAAUCCGGGGCUCAACCCCGGACUUGCAGUGGGUACGGGCAGACUAGAGUGUGGUAGGGGAGACUGGAAUUCCUGGUGUAACGGUGGAAUGCGCAGAUAUCAGGAGGAACACCGAUGGCGAAGGCAGGUCUCUGGGCCAUUACUGACACUGAGAAGCGAAAGCAUGGGGAGCGAACAGG